rnacentral:rRNA from 1 species
GUGAAAUUGUUGAAAGGGAAGCGCUUGCAACCAGACUUGCGCGCGAUGGUUCGCCCUUCCUUCUGGUUGGGCUACUCCGUCGUGUCCAGGCCAACAUCGGUUCUGGGGGUCGGUUAAAGGCUCGGGGAAUGUAUCUACCCCCCGGGCGUAGACUUAUAGCCCCGAGUGUCAUGCGGCCUUCCGGGACCGAGGAACGCGCUUCGGCUCGGAUGUUGGCGUAAUGGUUGUCAGCGACCCGUCUUGAAACACGG